GCAUGUGGUUUAAUUCGAAGCAACGCGAAGAACCUUACCAGGUCUUGACAUCCUCUGACAAUCCUAGAGAUAGGACGUCCCCUUCGGGGGCAGAGUGACAGGUGGUGCAUGGUUGUNGUCAGCUCGUGUCGUGAGAUGUUGGGUUAAGUCCCGCAACGAGCGCAACCCUUGAUNUUAGUUGCCNGCAUUCAGUUGGGCACUCUAAGGUGACUGCCGGUGACAAACCGGAGGAAGGUGGGGAUGACGUCAAAUCAUCAUGCCCCUUAUGACCUGGGCUACACACGUGCUACAAUGGACAGAACAAAGNGCNGNGAANCCGCGAGGUUAAGCCANUCCCACAAAUCUGUUNNNNNUCGGAUCGCAGUCUGCAACUNGANUGCGUGAAGNNGGAAUCGCUAGUAAUCGNGGNUCAGC
rnacentral:rRNA from 1 species